rfam:Triticum aestivum genome assembly, contig: Triticum_aestivum_CS42_TGACv1_scaffold_334144_4BS
CUUAUACUCCCUCCGUCCCAAAAUUCUUUUCUUAGAUUUGUCUAGAUAAGGAUGUAGCUAAUACUAAAAUGUAACUAGAUACAUCCGUAUUUAGACAAAUCCAAGACAAGAAUUUUGGGACGGAGGGAGUAUUUA